rnacentral:rRNA from 1 species
UACGGAGGGGCUAGCGUUGUUCGGAAUUACUGGGCGUAAAGCGCGCGUAGGCGGACCUGCAAAGCGGGGGUGAAAGCCCGAGGCUCAACCUCGGAACUGCCUUCGAUACUGCGGGUCUCGAGUCCGGGGAGAGGUGAAGUGGAAUUCCUAGUGUAGAGGUGAAAUUCGUAGAUAAUUCGGAAGAACACCAGUGGCGAAGGCGGCUCACUGGCCCGAUAC